UCUAAUUUUGGUCGCUCUUGUGAGUAUUUAUUCCAAUCAUAUCCCAUAUCCGCUGAAACUGAAGGUGAUCCGGCUACCAUGUCAUGGAUUCAGGGUAGUGUGUGGGAUUUCCAGUAGAAGAGUAGCUACUCACAAGCUUGAUGCCGCAAAGGCAUCUUCCUACUCUUCUGAGAACUUCCACCAAUAAGCUCCACGCGCUCCUGCACCUUCUUAUGAGUCAAUAGAAGAGUAGCUACUCACCUUCCUAUGUCUCUGUCAUGUAGUUUCUAACGAUCUUUUAUGUGCCAUGUCGGCAAGGCCACAAGGGUGAUUGAUAAAAAAUCCAAGCAGGCUCCAUGUGAGGUGAAUCAAGAAAUCAUCUCUACUUAAGUCCAAGAGGUCACCAGGUGAAGGGAUGGAUAAACUAUCAUGUUGCAUUAAUUUGGAGCUAUGAAACUGCCUAUUACAUUGGAACUUGGUGAAGAAGUCGUAUUUGAGUAUGUUGACAUUGGCAAAAGGUACAUGCCGCAUGCUGAGACAUAUAUUCGUUGUGU